rnacentral:misc_RNA from 1 species
AACCUAGCACACCUGCGGUGUGUACCUGCGGAGGGAUCAUUAAUGAUUGACCGAAAGGUCCUAUCUUAACAUCCCUCACCUCUGUGAACCGUUUGACCUCCGGGUCUAACAAACUAUACAAACAUCAGUGUAAUGAACGUCUUGUUAUCUUAACAAAAACAAAACUUUUAACAACGGAUCU